rnacentral:rRNA from 1 species
UACAGAGGGGGCUAGCGUUAUUCGGAAUUAUUGGGCGUAAAGGGCGCGUAGGCGGCCAUGCGUGUCUUCCGUGAAAUCCCUCGGCUUAACUGAGGACGUGCGGAAGAAACUGCAAGGCUCGAGUCCGGGAGAGGGGUGGAAUUCCCAGUGUAGCGGUGAAAUGCGUAGAUAUCGAGAGGAACACCUGCGGCGAAGGCGGGUUGCUGGGGCCGACACUGACGCUGAUGCGCGAAAGCCAGGGGAGCGA